rnacentral:pre_miRNA from 1 species
CAACUACUCCCUCUGUCCCAAAUUUCUUGUCUUAGAUUUGUCUAGAUACGGAUGUAUCUAAUACUAAAAUGUGACUUGAUACAUCCGUAUCUAGACAAAUCUAAACAAGAAUUUUGGGACGGAGGGAGUACUUU